GACCUGAGAGACCCGGAGAGGAGCCGCGAGCUGCUCUCUUCCUGCCGCCGCAGCAACAGCCGGCGCUGGCGCACCUCCAGUGCCAGCUCGGAGGAGCAGGACCCGGCCGACGGGGUCUUCCUCAUGGUCUACCUCCCCUCCCCCUACCAACACACCCUCACACGGCUCGCCAGAGCCGCCAGCACCCGGAGCUCCCGCAGGUCCCUGGGGGCCUGGGGGGGGGCUAAAGACCUGGAGACCCCCCGAGACCCGGAGAGCCCAAAAGAGUUCCAGGCCUCAAAAGACCUGGAGAUCCCUGGAAUCCUGGAGACCCCCAAAGACCUGGAAACCCCGAGGGGCCUGGAGCCCCACAAAGUCCUGGAGACCCCCAAAGACCCAGAGACCCCCAAAGACCUGGAUAGCCCCAAAGAAUUUCAGGCCUCAAGAGACCUGACAACCUCACUGGAGACCCCCAGAGUCCUUGAGAGCCCCAGAGUCCUGGAGACCUCCAGAGACCUGGAGAAUCCAAGACUAAUGGAGAACCCCAGACACCAGGAGACCCCAAGAUACAUUGAGACCCUGGGAGACAUGGAGACACCAAGAAUCCUUGAGACCCCCCAAAGACCUGGAGUCCCCAAAAGAUCUAGAGACCCCCAGAGACCUGGAGACCUGGAGAGACCUGGAUAUCCCCAAAUGCCUAGAGAGCCCCAAAGAUCUGGAGUCCCCCAAAGAUCUAGAGACCCCCAGAGACCUGGAGACCUGGAGAGUCCUGGAGAUCCCCAAAUACCUACGGAGCCCCAAAGACCUGGAGUCCCCCAAAGAUCUAGAGACCCCCAGAGACCUGGAGACCUUAAGAGUCCUGGACAUCUCCAAAUACCUAGAGAGCCCCAAAGAGCUCCAGGUCUCUCCAGAGACCUGGAGAAUCCAUGAAUCCAAGACUCAUGGAGACCCCCAGAGACCUGGAGACUCCACUAGAGACCCCCAGAGUCCUGGAGACCUUGGGAGACAUUGAGACCUCCAGAGACCUGGAGACCUGGGGGAGACCUUGAGACCCCCAGAGACCUGGAGACCUGGAGAGACCCUGAGACCUCCAGAGACCUUGAAACCCCAAAAGACCUUGAGAACUCUGGAGGCCUGGGUACCUCGUUAGACUUGACCGAGGCAAACAGUGGAAUGCAGCAGGAUGAGAAGAUGUGAUAAUAAUACUGCUGUACUACUACAGUUCUAAUAUCACCUACUACAGAACUACUGCAGUACUACUUUUACCUAUUGCAGUACUACUAUCAACUACUACAGUACUACUGCAGUAAUACUAUUACCUAAUGUAGUAGUGUGAAGUCUUGAUUCUAUAGUGAACCCUGAGGUCUUGUUCAUAUAGUGAACCCUGAAGUCUUGAUUCUUUAGUGAACCUUGAAGUCUUGUGUCUAUAGUGAACCCUGAAGUCUUCUUUCUAUAGUGAACCCUGAAGUCUUGUUUCUACAGUGAACCCUGAAGUCUUCUUUCUAUAGUGAACCCUGACGUCUUGUUUCUAUAGUGAACCCUGAAGUCUUGUUUCUAUAGUGAACCCUGAGGUAUUGUUUAUAUAGUGAACCCUGAGGUCUUGAUUCUAUAGUGAACCCUGAGGUCUUGAUUCUAUAGUGAACCCUGAGGUCUUGACCUAUAGUGAACCCUGAGGUCUUGAUUCUAUAGUGAACCCUGAGGUCUCAUAUCUAGCCCUACAAGUGGAUUCUGUUGAUAUUGAACCUUCAUGGUUGAAGGCACUCAUUGUAAGUCGCUACGGAAAAAAGCAACAGCAAAAUAAAUGAAAUAACAAAAUACCUUAACAUUCUUUGUGAUGUGUUAAAUACCUUAUUAUACUUUGUUACGUGUUAAAAUACCUUAUUAUACUUUAUAAUAGCCAUGAAGGUACUAUGGACUUCAUGCUGAACGACUUGUGUCGUUUAUUGACUUAUAUUGUAUGAUGUGGAAUUGUCAAUGAUAUAUAUAUAUAUAUAUUUGUUUUAUGUAGAUCCGUAACAUGGAAGUCAGUGUUAAAGUAUUAAAGGAUUUGGCCUCGAA
ensembl:lncRNA